CUAGGUUUGACAUACAAGUGGUACUGAGAUGAAAGUCGAGGGACUCUUCGGAGAGCUUGUACAGGUGCUGCAUGGUUGUCGUCAGCUCGUGCCGUGAGGUGUUCGGUUAAGUCCGCAAACGAGCGCAACCCUUAUCGUUAGUUACAAGUGUCUAGCGAGACUGCCCGUGGCAAACGGGAGGAAGGUGGGGAUGACGUCAAAUCAGCAUGGCCUUUAUAUCUAGGGCUACACACACGCUACAAUGGCGCGUACAAUGGGUCGCGAAGGCGCGAGCCGGAGCCAAUCCUACAAAGCGCGUCGUAGUUCGGAUUGCAGGCUGCAACUCGCCUGCAUGAAGUCGGAGUUGCUAGUAACCGCAGGUCAGCACACUGC
rnacentral:rRNA from 1 species